rnacentral:rRNA from 1 species
GAGUAACACGUGACCAACCUGCCCUCGAGUGGGGAAUAACUCCGGGAAACCGGAGCUAAUACCGCAUAACAUCGCAAGAUCAAAGCCGCAAGGCGCUUGAGGAGGGGGUCGCGGCUGAUUAGCUAGUUGGUAGGGUAAUGGCCUACCAAGGCGAAGAUCGGUAGCCGGCCUGAGAGGGCGCACGGCCACACUGGAACUGAAACACGGUCCAGACUCCUACGGGAGGCAGCAGUGGGGAAUUUUGCGCAAUGGGGGAAACCCUGACGCAGCAACGCCGCGUGGAGGAUGAAGUCCCUUGGGACGUAAACUCCUUUCGACCGGGACGAUACUGACGGUACCGAAAGAAGAAGCACCGGCUAACUCUGUGCCAGCAGCCGCGGUAAUACAGAGGGUGCGAGCGUUGUUCGGAAUUAUUGGGCGUAAAGGGCGCGUAGGCGGUGCGGUAAGUCACCUGUGAAAUCUCCUGGCUCAACUGGGAGCUUGCAGGCGAAACUGCCGUGCUGGAGUGUGGGAGAGGUGCGUGGAAUUCCCGGUGUAGCGGUGAAAUGC